GAUGUCUGCAUCUCUGAAAGGCUCUAAUAGCUCCAAAUUCCAGGUCUCUGAGUUCAUCCUGAUGGGAUUCCCAGGCAUUUAUAGCUGGCAACACUGGCUCUCCUUACCAUUGGCAAUACUCUACCUCUCAGCAAUUGGUGCUAACACCCUCAUCCUCAUCACCAUCUGCCAGGACCCUGCCCUUCAGCAGCCAAUGUACUAUUUCCUAGGCAUUCUCUCUGUGGUGGACAUGGGGUUGGCCACCACCAUCAUGCCCAAGAUCCUGGCCAUCUUCUGGUUUGAUGCCAAGGUCAUCAGCCUCCCUGAGUGUUUUGCUCAGAUUUAUGCCAUUCACUGCUUUGUUGGCAUGGAGUCUGGUAUCUUCCUCUGCAUGACUUUUGAUAUAUAUGUAGCGAUUUGUCACCCUCUUUGCUAUCCAUCAAUUGUCACCAAUGCCUUAAUCUUAAAAGCUACCAUGUUCAUGGUACUUCGAAAUGGCUUGUUUGUCAUUCCCGUGCCUGUGCUCGUAGCCCAGCAUAAUUAUUGCUCCAGGAAUGAGAUUGAGCAUUGCCUGUGCUCUAACCUAGGGGUCACCAGCCUGGCUUGCAAUGACAGGAGGCCAAACAGCAUCUGCCAAUUGCUUCUGGCAUGGAUUGGAAUGGGUAGUGACCUAGGUCUUAUAAUAUUGUCAUAUACUUUGAUUCUGUGCUCUGUACUUAGACUGAACUCGGCUGAAGCUGCAUCUAAAGCUCUGAGGACUUGUAGCUCCCAUCUGAUCUUUAUUCUCUUCUUCUACACAGUUGUUGUAGUGGUUUCAGUAACUCACCUGGCAGAAUCCAAAGCUCCUUUGAUUCCAGUUCUCUUCAAUGUGCUGCAACAUCAUUCCCCCUUCCCUCAACCCUAUGGUUUAUGCACUGAGGACUAAAGAACUUAGGGCAGACUUCCAAAAGAUGUUUUGUUUGAGCUUAGAAAAGAACACAAGGCACCAGUGA